UGAGAGAAGAGACCUUGUCAUAUUCAGCUUGAUUCAGCCCAUUGAUUAAUGUACUCCUUGCUUUUCCAUUGGCAGCAACCUUUGAUAGCUCGUCCGCUGUGAGAACAUCAACGUCCUUGACUUUGCCAUCGCUAUCAAGAUAUUCAUAAGGACCUCUUUGCACAACUCUUUGCAUUAGGGGAUCUCUGGAUAGAUGAGCCUCCAUUUGGCCUUUCCACCAAUUGUAGUUGUCAGAACCCGUGAGGAGGGGAGCUCUAAAAUCGGACUUUCCCUGAAAGUUAUCAGCCAUAUCGAUCGAUACUAUUCCUGUUACAGAAGUAUUAGUACAACCUGGCUCUGAUACCAAUUGAAAUUACACACCUAGAGGGGGGGUGAAUAGGUGUUAUGACGAAUAUACCCGAUUUUUAUAAGUUACCGAA
rnacentral:lncRNA from 1 species